GUCAGGAUGGCCGAGCGGUCUAAGGCGCCAGACUCAAGGUUCAUACCUUCUCGGUUCAAUACCGAGUUUGGAGCUUUCUGGUCCUCUCUGAGGGCGUGGGUUCGAAUCCCACUUCUGACA
rnacentral:tRNA from 1 species